UCCUGGGCUUCCUGGACAGAAAGGAAAUACUGGAACUGCUGGUCCAGCUGGACCCAAAGGUGAAAGAGGACUGAGUGGGGCCAAAGGAAAUCAAGGUCCACCUGGACCACCAGGUUCCAAAGGACAGAGAGGAAGUUCCCCA